rnacentral:lncRNA from 1 species
UGGAUUUUGUGAGAGCGACACCUUGUAAAUUGAACAACUCAUUCCAAAUAUUAUUGAGAAAUACAUGGUUUCUAUAACUAGUGAUUGCAGAAGGCAUCCCGUAUUACUUAAAACACAUCGUCAAGAAAAGUGUAGGCUACAUCAAUGGUGGUAUAAGGAUAAGAUAAAGUGAAUAAAUGAGCAUACUUGCUCAAAUGAUAUAAAGCCACUAAUAUUACAUGUCGCCCGUGUGAAGUAGGUAAUCCCUCAAUGAAGUCCACAUCAUUGACAUUCCAAAUCCUAUUAUCAAGGCUUCCAAAUCGGCCUUGCAUCUUUGACAGGUAUCCCAAUUGCGAAUGUGUAUUGAUGAAUACCUUGCUCUUUCCCUUCCAAAAGAACAAACCAUUCACUCUAGAAGUAGUGACAUCUCUGGCCGAGUGACCCCUAUUUCAGAUUCAUGUAACCAUCGCAGAAUUGUGGUUUUAAGCAUCUCAUUCAUGCCAAUUACCAAUUAUCCUCAUCGUCUGAGUUCAUAAAGGUGCCAAGUAAACUUUUGAUGAGAAUAAGGCCCCCAUUUUCGUAUGACAUUCUACAACCAAGAGUUCUUACUCAUAGAUAGAUAAAGCUUGUGGUUUAGGCCCUUAAGAGUGAGUCAUAUAUGCAACAGAAUCUCCAUCUUCUAUUAGGACAACCCCUAUACAUUUACUAGAGGCAUCCGUCUCCACCGCAAAAGGCUCGAAAAUAUUAAGGAGGGCAAGAACAAGGGUCAUGAUAAGGGUCAGUCUUAAGGUUCGAAAGGCAAUAAUGGACUCCUCGGUCCACGCAAAGGAGGUUGGGCAAACUUAUCAAAGUCAGCAAUAAACCAUUGACUUAUACACAACAAACCCAAGAAAUGGUCUCAAUUACUCGAUGUUUUGGGGUUGGGGCCAAUUAACCACCAUUUCUACUUUGGCAGGGUAUGUAGCAACAGUCUCAAAAUAUUCAACCCUUGCUGAAGCAAAACAAGACUGAUUUGAACAUAAAAAUGAAAACAAUGACAUACACUAUAGAUUCUUCUUCAACUUUUUCCUUCGUAUCUUCCUCAACGUACACAUUCUAUGAAUGAUUUGUGUUGUUGUAUUCCUCAUACACCGCUCCAUUGUUUGUGAGAAAAACGGUGCGAAAUCGGUCAUCGAUCAGCAACAACCGCCUUGAUCUCCGUCACAACAAUCGCAACGUGACCCUAAUUCCUACACCAUUUAGGAUCUCUUUCCUAUUCCAAUCGGAGGAUUUGAUGGAUAAAUUUUGGGGUCAAAUGCACAUGCCAUUUUUCAAGCACUCAUGAACCACAUGUUUCACUCUUUUCUCUAUGAGGUUUUUGAUAAUCUUCUCCAAUGAUAUUCUCGUUUACAACCCAUCCUUCAGUGACACCAUGUUUUCUACUUACAACUAGUUUUCUAAAACUUGAUUUCUUUUCUUUAGAUUUUCUUUAAGGUAUAUUUGAAAUUGAAUAAAAAUAUCAUUAUAUUGUAUGGAUACUUCUAUUAUUUAUAUAAUUUAAAAGGAGAUUGAGUUUAGUAAAAUGAAGUGGUGUUGAUUUUAUUUUUUUAUUUUUAUUUUUAUUUUUAUUUGAGCGACACGAAAAAUUUAUUUUAUUUCAUUCUAAAAUUUUUAAAUUAUAGAAUUA